rnacentral:rRNA from 1 species
AGAGUUUGAUCCUGGCUCAGGACGAACGCUGGCGGCGCGCCUCAUACAUGCAAGUCGAGCGUGAAGCGGGACUUCGGUCCCGUGGAAAGCGGCGAACGGGUGCGUAACACGUGAGCAACCUGCCCCGAAGACUGGGAUAACCCGAGGAAACUCGGGCUAAUACCGGAUGUCCUCUUCCGACCGCAUGACUGGGAGAGGAAAUGUUCAGGCGCUUCGGGAUGGGCUCGCGGUCUAUCAGCUUGUUGGUGGGGUAACGGCCUACCAAGGCGACGACGGAUAGCUGGUCUGAGAGGACGAUCAGCCACACUGGGACUGAGACACGGCCCAGACUCCUACAGGAGGCAGCAGUAGGGAAUCUUGCGCAAUGGGGGAAACCCUGACGCAGCGACGCCGCGUGCGGGAUGAAGGCCUUCGGGUUGUAAACCGCUUUCAGCAGGGACGAAAUUGACGGUACCUGCAGAAGAAGGCCCGGCCAACUACGUGCCAGCAGCCGCGGUAAUACGUAGGGGCCUAGCGUUGUCCGGAUUUAUUGGGCGUAAAGAGCUCGUAGGCGGUUCGGUAAGUCAGGUGUGAAAUCUCCACGCUCAACGUGGAGGCGCCACCUGAAACUGCCGUGACUCGAGUCCGGUAGGGGAGUGUGGAAUUCCCGGUGUAGCGGUGAAAUGCGCAGAUAUCGGGAGGAACACCAGUGGCGAAGGCGGCACUCUGGGCCGGUACUGACGCUGAGGAGCGAAAGCGUGGGGAGCGAACAGGAUUAGAUACCCUAGUAGUCC